rnacentral:sRNA from 1 species
AAUUGGUUCUACAGAAUGGGUUGAGCAAUAUGUGGCCACUUUAAGGGAGCGAGCAGUGGCCUAUAUCAAUGUGGACAUUGCAGUACUUGGCAACGACACCCUCAAAGUAG